rnacentral:tRNA from 1 species
CGUAAUAUAGCUUAACAAAAGCGUCUUGCUUACACCAAGAAGAUGUUCUACCCAGAACUAUUUCGAG